UGAACUAAGAUUGGCUUGAACAAAGCAAGCUCAAAAUAGUUUAAUAAAAAUAAAUCCUCUUUUGCAACCCAGAACUCAUUGUUCAGUAUAAGUUUUAGUACAUAUAAGAAAGAAUAUU
ensembl:snoRNA